rnacentral:piRNA from 1 species
UCUUUCAAAUGAGUUUCAGAC